UGCCUAAUACAUGCAAGUCGAACGAACUUGAGGGAGCUUGCUCCUAAGAGUUAGUGGCGAACGGGUGAGUAAUGCAUAACCAACCUGCCUAUAAGGACUGGGAUAACGUUUGGAAACGAACGCUAAAACCGGAUAGGUCAUCGGAAGGCAUCUUCUGAUGAUUAAAGGUGUGAAACACAAAUAGAUGGGGUUAUGUCGCAUUAGUUAGUUGGUGAGGUAACGGCUCACCAAGACGAUGAUGCGUAGCCGGCCUGAGAGGGUGAACGGCCACAUUGGGACUGAGACACGGCCCAAACUCCUACGGGAGGCAGCAGUAGGGAAUUUUCGGCAAUGGGCGCAAGCCUGACCGAGCAACGCCGCGUGAGUGAAGACGGCCUUCGGGUUGUAAAGCUC
rnacentral:rRNA from 1 species